GGCAGAGGAAGCCCGGUCCCCGUGGGCGCGCUUUGUGCGCCCAUGAGGAAAGUCCCCCCACCCUCCGGGCAGGUGACCGGACGCAAGUCCGGAGCGGGAGACCGCUGGCACUGGAACAGAAACGAGACCCCUUCCGCCGAGCAAUGAGGCGUGCGACCCGACCCGCGAGGGAAGGAAGCUAACCCGCCGAGCGCGCGUCGCCGUACGGCGACGCCCGGGCGAGCGGCAUCAGCCGCGAGCCGACGCGGAAGAAGGGAUGGAACGGCGAAUCCUCACCGGUGCAAGCCCGUCGCAACAUGGUAGCCCGGAGACGCGACGGGCGCUCAGCCGAAUGCCGGGUCAAAACAGAAGGGGGCUUACUCUCCUCAGCC
rfam:Natronomonas pharaonis DSM 2160 complete genome